CCUGGCUCAGGACGAACGCUGGCGGCGUGCCUAAUACAUGCAAGUCGAGCGGACAGAUGGGAGCUUGCUCCCUGAUGUUAGCGGCGGACGGGUGAGUAACACGUGGGUAACCUGCCUGUAAGACUGGGAUAACUCCGGGAAACCGGGGCUAAUACCGGAUGCUUGUUUGAACCGCAUGGUUCAAACAUAAAAGGUGGCUUCGGCUACCACUUACAGAUGGACCCGCGGCGCAUUAGCUAGUUGGUGAGGUAAUGGCUCACCAAGGCGACGAUGCGUAGCCGACCUGAGAGGGUGAUCGGCCACACUGGGACUGAGACACGGCCCAGACUCCUACGGGAGGCAGCAGUAGGGAAUCUUCCGCAAUGGACGAAAGUCUGACGGAGCAACGCCGCGUGAGUGAUGAAGGUUUUCGGAUCGUAAAGCUCUGUUGUUAGGGAAGAACAAGUACCGUUCGAAUAGGGCGGUACCUUGACGGUACCUAACCAGAAAGCCACGGCUAACUACGUGCCAGCAGCCGCGGUAAUACGUAGGUGGCAAGCGUUGUCCGGAAUUAUUGGGCGUAAAGGGCUCGCAGGCGGUUUCUUAAGUCUGAUGUGAAAGCCCCCGGCUCAACCGGGGAGGGUCAUUGGAAACUGGGGAACUUGAGUGCAGAAGAGGAGAGUGGAAUUCCACGUGUAGCGGUGAAAUGCGUAGAGAUGUGGAGGAACACCAGUGGCGAAGGCGACUCUCUGGUCUGUAACUGACGCUGAGGAGCGAAAGCGUGGGGAGCGAACAGGAUUAGAUACCCUGGUAGUCCACGCCGUAAACGAUGAGUGCUAAGUG
rnacentral:rRNA from 1 species